rnacentral:rRNA from 1 species
UACGUAGGGUGCAAGCGUUGUCCGGAAUUAUUGGGCGUAAAGAGCUCGUAGGCGGUCUGUCGCGUCGGCUGUGAAAACCCGGGGCUCAACCCCGGGCCUGCAGUCGAUACGGGCAGACUAGAGUGCGGUAGGGGAGACUGGAAUUCCUGGUGUAGCGGUGGAAUGCGUAGAUAUCAGAAAGAACACCUGUGGCGAAGGCGGUGGUCUGGGCCGAAACUGACGCUGAGGCGCGAAAGCCAGGGGAGCAAACGGG